rnacentral:rRNA from 1 species
GACGAACGCUGGCGGCGUGCCUAACACAUGCAAGUCGAACGGAGAAUUUUAUUUCGGUAGAAUUCUUAGUGGCGAACGGGUGAGUAACGCGUAGGCAACCUGCCCUUUAGACGGGGACAACAUUCCGAAAGGAGUGCUAAUACCGGAUGUGAUCAUCUUGCCGCAUAGCAGGAUGAAGAAAGAUGGCCUCUACAAGUAAGCUAUCGCUAAAGGAUGGGCCUGCGUCUGAUUAGCUAGUUGGUAGUGUAACGGACUACCAAGGCGAUGAUCAGUAGCCGGUCUGAGAGGAUGAACGGCCACAUUGGGACUGAGACACGGCCCAAACUCCUACGGGAGGCAGCAGUGGGGAAUCUUCCGCAAUGGACGAAAGUCUGACGGAGCAACGCCGCGUGAGUGAUGAAGGAUUUCGGUCUGUAAAGCUCUGUUGUUUAUGACGAAUGUGCAGUGUGUGAACAAUGCAUUGCAAUGACGGUAGUAAACGAGGAAGCCACGGCUAACUACGUGCCAGCAGCCGCCGUAA